GACAAACGCUGGCGGAAUGUAUUAGGCAUGCAAGUCGUACGAACCUUCGGGUUAGUGGCGAACGGGUGAGUAACACGUGGGUAACCUGCCUCGUAGUGGGGAAUAACUCGCCGAAAGGCGAGCUAAUACCGCAUAACACCCCUGGUGAGAUUCCAGGUGGUAAAAGCUCCGGCGCUACGAGAGGGGCCCGCGGCCGAUUAGCUAGUUGGUGGGGUAAAGGCCCACCAAGGCGACGAUCGGUAGCUGGUCUGAGAGGAUGGUCAGCCACACGGGGACUGAGAUACGGCCCCGACACCUACGGGUGGCUG
rnacentral:rRNA from 1 species